AUUGAACGCUGGCGGCAUGCUUUACACAUGCAAGUCGAACGGUAACAGGUUAAGCUGACGAGUGGCGAACGGGUGAGUAAUGCAUCGGAACGUGCCCGGUCGUGGGGGAUAACGCAGCGAAAGCUGCGCUAAUACCGCAUACGAUCUGAGGAUGAAAGCGGGGGACCGUAAGGCCUCGCGCGAUCGGAGCGGCCGAUGUCAGAUUAGGUUGUUGGUGGGGUAAAGGCUCACCAAGCCAACGAUCUGUAGCGGGUCUGAGAGGACGACCAGCCACACUGGGACUGAGACACGGCCCAGACUCCUACGGGAGGCAGCAGUGGGGAAUUUUGGACAAUGGGCGAAAGCCUGAUCCAGCAAUGCCGUGUGCAGGAAGAAGGCCUUCGGGUUGUAAACUGCUUUUGUACGGAGCGAAAAGGUCUCCUCUAAUACAGGGGGCUCAUGACGGUACCGUAAGAAUAAGCACCGGCUAACUACGUGCCAGCCGCCGCGGUAA
rnacentral:rRNA from 1 species